rnacentral:rRNA from 1 species
AGGACGAACGCUGGCGGCGUGCUUAACACAUGCAAGUCGAACGAGGAUUCAGGAGAGCUUGCUUGAAUGGAUUCGAGUGGCGGACGGGUGAGUAACGCGUGAAUAAUCUGUCUCAUACAGGGGGAUAACGCAUCGAAAGAUGUGCUAAUACCGCGUAGGACCACGGAUUCGCAUGGAUCUGAGGUGAAAGGAGCAAUCCAGUAUGAGGUGAGUUCGCGUCUGAUUAGAUAGUUGGUGAGGUAACGGCCCACCAAGUCAACGAUCAGUAGCCGACCUGAGAGGGUGAUCGGCCACAUUGGGACUGAGACACGGCCCAGACUCCUACGGGAGGCAGCAGUGGGGAAUAUUGGGCAAUGGGCGAAAGCCUGAACCCCCAGCAACGCCGCGUGAAGGAAGAAGGUUUUCGGAUUGUAAACUUCUGUCCUAUGUGAAGAGGAGCAGACGGUAGCAUAGGAGGAAGCCCCGGCUAACUACGUGCCAGCAGCCGC